ACAUUACUAUACAUCAAGGAGCUCAGAAGGAUCCUCACUGGUACACAUCAGUCACACAGCAAUCUUGUAUGUUGUACAUUCAGAGACAAUGAUCAGCUUUAUCCCAUCUGUAUUACUUACCUCCUUGCUGAUACUUUAUUUUUCAGGUUCUAUCCAGGGUAAUACUAUAAACUCAACAGACCAGCAUCUUUUUUGUGAAAAUGGAGAAACAAUAACAUUAUCCUGUAACUACUCCACUAGUAGCACUACUCCAUACCUGUACUGGUAUCGUCAGUAUCCUCAUCAGAUACAGUAUAUUCUUGUGCAUGGAGCAAAGAGUUACUCUAAAUUCAAGAAUAAUAACACAGAAUUAGAGAGUGGAAAGUUCCAAUCAGAGACCGGCGACACUCAUACGUCUUUAACCAUCCAUCGCCUGUCAGUGUCAGAUUCAGCCGUGUACCUGUGUGCUCUGAGUGAUGGUGCACAGUGCUACAUAUCUGCUCAAGAGCAAUGCUAAAACUUUCUGUUCACUACAUCAUCUUCACCACUA